AGGGCAAAAGAGAGAGCCCCACCCCCACCACGCCUGCCUCCGCCGGGCCCAGCAGGACUCUCUAACACCUGGGGACAUCCUGCUGCUGGGGGCAGGAUAUGCAUUGAGGACUCUUCAUCUAAUAGCCCUGACCCACGCAGAACCUGCUCCCAAGAAUCAAGCUCAGGCUUUUUGGCCACUCAGGUUCCAAGAAAAGCAGCCUUAUGGACUCUCUCAAGUGUGGGCUGCUGAGGAGCUUUCUCAAAAGCCUUUGGAGACAAGCUGAAGAACCCACUCCAAGUUGUCCUGCUGGCUUCCAUGCGGACAUCAUGAAUGUUCCUGAACCAGCUGGAGGCGAGUUUGGAUAUGACAGAGAUACAUCAUUGCUGAAAGAGAUCAGGAGUAGGUGAGGGUCAGGUGCUGGGUCUCCAACCCAGGGGCAGGCUCUUAUCCCAGGGAACUGAAUCAGGGCUGUGGAAACCACAACAGGAACAACUUGAACCAGGAA
rnacentral:lncRNA from 1 species